UACGGACUGUGCAAACGUUAUUCGGAAUCACUGGGCUUAAAGAGUCCGUAGGCGGCUUGUUAGGUGAGGUGUGAAAUCCCUCGGCCCAACCGAGGAAUUGCGCUUCAAACCGGCAAGCUAGAGGAGGAUAGAGGUGGGCGGAACUGAUGGUGGAGCGGUGAAAUGCGUAGAUAUUUGGAGGAACACCAAUGGCGAAGGCAGCCCCCUGGGUUAACACUGACGCUCAUGCACGAAAGCGUGGGGAGCAAACAGG
rnacentral:rRNA from 1 species